rnacentral:rRNA from 1 species
AUUGAACGCUGGCGGCAUGCUUUACACAUGCAAGUCGAACGGCAGCACGGACUUCGGUCUGGUGGCGAGUGGCGAACGGGUGAGUAAUACAUCGGAACGUACCCAGUAAUGGGGGAUAACUAUCCGAAAGGAUAGCUAAUACCGCAUACGCCCUGCGGGGGAAAGAGGGGGAUCGCAAGACCUCUUGUUAUUGGAGCGGCCGAUGGCUGAUUAGCUAGUUGGUAGGGUAAAGGCCUACCAAGGCAACGAUCAGUAGCGGGUCUUAGAGGACGAUCCGCCACACUGGAACUGAGACACGGUCCAGACUCCUACGGGAGGCAGCAGUGGGGAAUCUUGGACAAUGGGCGCAAGCCUGAUCCAGCAAUGCCGCGUGCGUGAAGAAGGCCUUCGGGUUGUAAAGCGCUUUUGUCAGGGAGCAAAUCCUUGUGGCUAAUACCCACCGGGGAUGAGAGUACCUGAAGAAUAAGGACCGGCUAACUACGUGCCAGCCGCCGCGGUAAUAC